rnacentral:rRNA from 1 species
CAGUAGCCGCGGUAAUACGUAGGGUGCGAGCGUUAAUCGGAAUUACUGGGCGUAAAGCGUGCGCAGGCGGUGAUGUAAGACAGUUGUGAAAUCCCCGGGCUCAACCUGGGAACUGCAUCUGUGACUGCAUCGCUGGAGUGCGGCAGAGGGGGAUGGAAUUCCGCGUGUAGCAGUGAAAUGCGUAGAUAUGCGGAGGAACACCGAUGGCGAAGGCAAUCCCCUGGGCCUGCACUGACGCUCAUGCACGAAAGCGUGGGGAGCAAACAGGAUUAGAGCCCGCGUAGUCCCUGUCUCUUAUACA